GCCUGGCUGGCUCAGUCAGUAGAGCAUGCAACUCUUGAUCUCGAGGUUGUGAGUUCAAGCCCCAUGUUGGGUG
rnacentral:tRNA from 1 species